rnacentral:rRNA from 1 species
GACGAACGCUGGCGGCGUGCUUAACACAUGCAAGUCGAACGAUGAAGAAAAGACUCGAAGCUUCGGCAGAAAUUCAUUUCGGAUUAGUGGCAGACGGGUGAGUAACGCGUGAGCAACCUACCUCUUACAAAGGGAUAGCCUCGGGAAACCGGGAUUAAUACCAUAUAACAUUGUGACGAAGCAUUUCGAUGCAAUCAAAGCUACGGCGGUAAGAGAUGGGCUCGCGUCCCAUUAACCGGAUGGUGAGGUAACGGCUCACCAUAGUGACGAUGGGUAACCGGCCUGAGAGGGUGAACGGUCACACUGGAACUGAGACACGGUCCAGACUCCUACGGGAGGCAGCAGUGGGGAAUAUUGCACAAUGGAGGGAACUCUGAUGCAGCGACGCCGCGUGAGUGAUGAAGGAAUUCGUUUCGUAAAACUCUGUUCUAUGGGAAGAAAAGGACUGUACCAUAUGAGAAAGCUCCGGCUAAAUACGUG